rnacentral:rRNA from 1 species
GUCUCAGUUCGGAUUGGAGUCUGNAACCCGAUCCAUGAAGCUGGAUUCGCUAGUAAUCGCGCAUCAGCCACGGCGCGGUGAAUACGUUCCCGGGCCUUGUACACACGCCCGUCAAGCCAUGGAAGCCGGGGGUGCCUGAAGUGCGCUGCCGCGAGGAGCGCCCUAGGGUAAAACCGGUGACUGGGGCUAAGUCGUAACAAGGUAGC